GAUCAUACUCCUUUCGGGGUCUGACAAAUUUUGACAGGUAGCUGUCAAUUGUUUUCAUUACGCGACUGCGUCAAGUGUUUCGUGUGCCCAAAUUUUAGUGCUAAAUUUGUGUCCAGAAUGCCUCCCGCUUUGCUACCCGAACAGCCACCCUCGUCCGAUAUCAACAAACUCAUCGACGAAGUGUUCGUCACGCAGGGAGCCGCCAUUAACUGUAACGCGUUGCGCAGAUUGCUCCAGCAGCUUACCGCCGAUGGUCAGUCCGGCGGGUCAGGAAUGGGACGAGGUUGUGGUUGCUGCUGCUCGGCUAGCCGUAUCACGAUUGAUGGCCGUUCGCUGAAGAAAACUUCUAGCAAAAUUGGUAAACCCAAAUCGAGCACUUCCAAAGUCACUGUUGGAGGUGCUCGUGGGAAGGAUAAACCUGACAACGACAAGGAGCAUGAAAUGAUCCUCAUGAAGCUGCAGAACCUCCAGACCAUGCUUAAAUCGAUGCAGCAGAAGAUCAACAAAAUCGAGAUGCGACUGCCGAAAUCACAGUCGAACGUGUCGUUGGGUAAGGGCGGUGGACGUCAGAGACAAACGUCCAAAGCGUCCAGUAUACGGCUCGGCGGGAGUCGUGUAGGCGGGGGAAGUAGGGUUGCUAAGAAACACUGCUGUGGUGCUGGCGGUGGUGGACCAUCGGUUUCGGUUAUCGGGCCGUCGAACCUUAAGGGUGGUUCGAAGAUUGCCACCGAAAUUUCCGCAAGUCAGCUGGUGGCCAGUACUGAUAGAUCUACCAAGGAAUGUCUAUGUGCUGCCCGUAGACGUAUGAGAAACGCAUCGAAAUCGUAGAAAUGGCCAACAUCCCUUGUCGAUGCAACUCGUUUUGUAAUUUGUAAGUUUAAUCAAGAUGGCAAUGAAGUCCCUACCCUUCUCAAGUAUCUAGUAUGCAUCGACCGAUUGAGAUUCUACCAUAAAAUGGCUGAGCCACCUCCAAGCGAUUUGGAAGCGUUGGUAGACGAAGCCAUUGCUCUUCCGGAUGGUGUUAUAAACUGUACCGAAUUGAACCGCCUGCUUAAGUACUUGGUGGAAGGAAUGUCAAAACUCUCGCAAGAAUUGGAAGACCUUCAAACAGCGAAUGAAGAACGAUUCCAAACGCUUGAGGAUACGAUCACCGAAUCAAAAGAGCCGGCAGAAGCUGAAGAAGAACCGGAUGAGAAAGCAGUACUGAUCCCGUGCGGUGUUCCUAUCGUUACCGAUCCAGAACAAACAGAUACUCCUCCACAGCAGAAUAUCGCGAAAGAAGUCACAUCGGAAACACUACUCAAAGAGAUCGACGAACAGGCAAAUGAGUUCCGGGAGCAGGAGUCGAAGCUGCUCGCGGUGAUCGGUGAUCUCGAGCAGCGUCUAGAAAAGGUGGAACAGUUGUUCUACCAAAAGCUCGAACAAUUGUCGAACGAAUUCCAACAGUUCCAGACAUUGGUUGAGAGCAAGCAAACGAACCUGGAGGAAGCCACCUCAACCGCAUCCAUGCAACAUACGGUCAGCUCGACCGAGCAGAUGAACAAACUGGCUGAGUUUACCGAUAAGCUGGACGAACUGCAACGGCAGAUGGAGCUGCUGCUAAGCCACCGAGACCAACUUCCGCUGCGCAUUGAAGCUCUGCUUGAGGAAAAGCUUAAAGAAGGCGAAUUGACAGCUGCGCCGGGCAAGAAGAACGUACGCUCGGGUAGUGUCGGCUCACGGAAAGGUUCCGUAACACCCUCCAAAUCGUUGUCUCACGGUCGGGUGACGGAAUCGGCUGCCACGACCCAAGCACUGAUGGACAAUCUGAGCUGUCUUGCCUGCGACACGAAGAACGUUGUGCAGAGGAUGCGUAAUGGACGCUAUCUGGCCCCGCGGACGAGUGCCAAGCUGGCCGUUGUCGCUCGCAGGUUGCAAGAAUCGGACGAUGUGCCCAGGAUACAGCCGGGUGCAAAAUGGAGUCGCACCUGUGGAGGUUCCUAUACGGUCGUUAAGCCGGAUGAACGAGUCUUUCGGCAGGUGAAUGUGCAGUUCAACCAUACGAUGCAGGAGGACAACUCGGAGCAAGACUGUUGAGUGGAGUAGGCUGUGGUGUAGGCAAAGGAUAAGCGAGAGAGAGCGAAAAACACAAUCCAAGUACCCUUUUCCUAGUUACAACCGUUGACAGGUUCAGGUUUAGAUAUUCCUUGUUUAAAAUCUUCUUGCGAGAGUUCCCAAAAUUUCGCGUAAAUGGCAUCCUUUCGGCCCAAAACGAAACCUCUGAAGCAGAAACAGUGCUGUUGUCCGGCAACGCAUCAGGACGAUGUAGGCGGUUUAGGUGGUGGCCGGUACACCGGUGGCAUCCAUACGGUAACACAUCCUGAAGAGCGGGUCUUUCGCGAUAUACGCUACACUGGCCCGAAAUGGAAAUCGCAAUCCUGUGGGCAAUCUAAAUUGAAGCAAUUAAUAAGACAACGUCCAAAGCAAUAAAAUGGUGGUGCCACUUUGACGACGAUAACUACGUGAACGUUCCGCGGCUGGUGCGCAUGCUAGACGAUUACAAUCCGACGCAGGAUUGGUACCUCGGCAAACCGAGUAUAUCGUCACCGCUCGAGAUCUUUCUCGAUAAUACCAAACAAGAAUUCCUCCAGCGCUUUAACGCCCGAAGGUGUACCGGUAUAAAUGAUCGGUCACCAAUAUCGGUCCCAGAUCGGAAUUUUGGAAGCACAGACGGUGUCAAAAUCCGGUGGCAAAACAGGGUCAGAUUCCAUCAGGAUUUCAUAAUUUUCUUCCGCCACCAAGCUUAUUCAUAUCCAUCGAUUAUAAAACCGUUCCAAUAUCUGGACGGUGAGAAGGAACGUUUCGAAGCGUCGCCCGGUAGUAGUUGGAUAGGAUAACAUCUUUCAAAGCAGCAAACCCCCCGUGGCGCUAUGAUGUCGAAGAUGUCAUUCGACUGGAGCCGUUGUUAUGAUCCUAAAGCUGAAUCUGAGCCAUAUAACCCGUUCCUAGCACCAAUCGUACUGCCCGCAAUGAUGAUGGAACUCCACUGUAGUUGUGACGAUGGACGAUCGCCUGACCUAUCCGUCGCAAAAGUGGCAAAAAUGAUAUAAAAUUAAACAAGAAUAAACAAAUCACUACCGGUGCGCCACGGGUGGUAAGUCAACCCGAAAGCGUAAGGAACGAGAUGAACACCCGAUGGACGACGAUGAUUGAGAAAUGGAUGCCCUGGCAGCACGUCUGCAGGUGACAUCUUGUCCGGAGUCCGGGGUGUAUGCGUAUCGGACGCUCGGGGUCUAUCAAUCGAAAUCGCCCCCCUAAAACGGCUGACGUCCUGCUGAGUUUAUGAGGCGCUUCGUUCGAUGCUCAUAUGUUGGCAUUGAUUAUGUCCAUAAAUUAGCACACCACUUCGCCCGCUCGGGGUGAAUGUCUGAACCGGGAGAAAGAGAAGCUUAAGCAAAGCGCGUAAUCUUUCCCUUAUAUGAUGGCUCUGCAUGGUUCGCCAGCUAUGGGUGGACGAGCAGCACCUUUGGACGACAGGUUACAUUCACCGGUGCGUGUACACAACUGUCUCGCGAAGGAUAACAAAUUAGACACAUUUAGCAAACGAAUGCUAAUCGGGGCUCGACAGAAAAUAGAUCACGCAAAGGCUGCUUUUUUUUU